rnacentral:rRNA from 1 species
AUUGAACGCUGGCGGAACGCUUUACACAUGCAAGUCGAACGGUAACGCGGAGAGAAGCUUGCUUCUCUCCGGCGACGAGUGGCGAACGGGUGAGUAAUACAUCGGAACGUGUCCGCUCGUGGGGGACAACCAGCCGAAAGGUUGGCUAAUACCGCAUGAGUUCUACGGAAGAAAGAGGGGGACCCGCAAGGGCCUCUCGCGAGCGGAGCGGCCGAUGACUGAUUAGCCGGUUGAUGAGGUAACGGCUCACCAAAGCAACGAUCAGUAGCUGGUCUGAGAGGACGACCAGCCACACUGGGACUGAGACACGACCCAGACUCCUACGGGAGGCAGCAGUGGGGAAUUUUGGACAAUGGGCGCAAGCCUGAUCCAGCUAUUCCGCGUGUGGGAUGAAGGCCCUCGGGUUGUAAACCACUUUUGUAGAGAACGAAAAGACACCUUUUAAAAAAGGGCGUUGCUGACGGUACUCUAAGAAUAAGCACCGGCUAACUACGUGCCAGCAGCCGCGGUAAUACGUAGGGUGCGAGCGUUAAUCGGAAUUACUGGGCGUAAAGGGUGCGCAGGCGGUUGAGUAAGACAGAUGUGAAAUCCCCGAGCUUAACUCGGGAAUGGCAUAUGUGACUGCUCGACUAGGGUGUGUCAGAGGGAGGUGGAAUUCCACGUGUAGCAGUGAAAUGCGUAGAUAUGUGGAAGAACACCGAUGGCGAAGGCAGCCUCCUGGGACAUAACUGACGCUCAGGCACGAAAGCGUGGGUAGCAAACAGG